rnacentral:rRNA from 1 species
GGACUCGAACACGCAGUGGAGUAUGCGGUUUAAUUCGAUACAACGCGAAAAAACUUACCCGGUCUUGCUAUUCUUCUGAAAAGAAGCCUAGUUUAGCUUCAGCGAAGAACAGGUGCUGCAUGGCUGUCGACAGCUCGUGUCGUGAGAUGUUUGGUUCAGUCCUGUAACGAGCGAAACCCUUAUUUGUGGAAGCCCAAAAGCCCAUAAGACUUUCUAUGAUAAGUAGAAGGAAGGAGGAUGACGUCAAGUCUUCAUGGCCCUUAUGACCGGGGCCUCACGCGUACUACAAUGGAAAAUACAAUGAGAAGCAAGCACGUAAGUGGGCGCCAGUCUACAAAAUUUUCCUAAGUUGGGAUUGUUCUCUGCAACUCGAGAACAUGAACCUGGAAUUGCGAG